UCCGAAUUGGUGUAGUGGUCAACAUUUGACGCUCUCAACAAGAUCAUGAUGAUUCAUUCGUGUCAUAGGGUGCCAUGGGUGAUCUGCGAAAGUACCGUCAAGCCCGGGGUUCGAUUCCCCGAUUCGGAG
rnacentral:tRNA from 1 species